rnacentral:rRNA from 1 species
GACGAACGCUGGCGGCGUGCUUAACACAUGCAAGUCGAACGGUAAGGCCCUUCGGGGUACACGAGUGGCGAACGGGUGGGUAACACGUGGGUGAUCUGCCCUGCACUUCGGGAUAAGCCUGGGAAACUGGGUCUAAUACCGGAUAGGACUCCGGACUGCAUGGUCUGGGGUGGAAAGCUUUUGCGGUGUGGGAUGGGCCCGCGGCCUAUCAGCUUGUUGGUGGGGUGAUGGCCUACCAAGGCGACGACGGGUAGCCGGCCUGAGAGGGUGACCGGCCACAGUGGGACUGAGAUACGGUCGAGGCUCCUACGGGAGGCAGCAGUGGGGAAUAUUGCACAAUGGGCGAAAGCCUGAUGCAGCGACGCCGCGUGAGGGAGGACGGCCUUCGGGUUGUAAACCUCUUUCAGCACAGACGAAGCGCAAGUGACGGUAUGUGCAGAAGAAGGACCGGCCAACUACGUGCCAGCCGCCGCAGUAA